rnacentral:rRNA from 1 species
AUCAGGUGCCCUCUCAUAUGCAUUUAUGCUGUCGAGUGGCAUCUACCACAUCGAGUGGCCUCACAAUUUUGUAUGAGGCAACACACCCCACCGGAGCCAGCAAGCACGGGCAAAAUUGAGCUUCACAAUCAGAACCGAAAGAAUAAUCAGAAUAUGGUUGAGUGGGUACAACACCAUGCUAGGUAUGUUGAGAUGUGGAUGCAGAGGCUCGAUUCUAGAGAAGCGGAUAUAACUUUGGCGGACAUGAGGGAUUACAAAGAAACUCAUCUAAAGUGGUAUGACAAUGGGAGGCGAUUUCGGGUGCGUUUGAGGCCAAGGUGGACCGACGCAGAUCUCGAGGAUCAUGACGCAAACAAUGAAUCAGACGAUGAGUACGACGCCAUAGUGAGAAGUACACAAGGUUCUCAUAGAGAGUAUGCGCCCUUGACUGAUAGAGUGACCUUU